rnacentral:rRNA from 1 species
GACGAACGCUGGCGGCGUGCUUAACACAUGCAAGUCGAGCGGUAAGGCCCUUUCGGGGGUACGACGAGCGGCGAACGGGUGAGUAACAUGUGGGUGACCUGCCCUCAGCUCUGGGAGUAAGCCUCGGGAAACCGGGGUACUAAUACUGGAUAUGACUCCAUGACGCAUGUUGUGGGGUGGAAAGCCUUGUGCGGCUGAGGAUGGGCCCGCGGCCUAUCAGCUUGUUGGUGGGGUGAUGGCCUACCAAGGCGACGACGGGUAGCCGGCCUGAGAGGGCGACCGGCCACACUGGGACUGAGACACGGCCCAGACU